AGCGAACGCUGGCGGCAGGCCUAACACAUGCAAGUCGAACGAACCUUUCGGGGUUAGUGGCGGACGGGUGAGUAACACGUGGGAACGUGCCUUUAGGUUCGGAAUAACUCAGGGAAACUUGUGCUAAUACCGAAUGUGCCCUUCGGGGGUAAGAUUUAUCGCCUUUAGAGCGGCCCGCGUCUGAUUAGCUAGUUGGUUGAGGUAAUGGCUCACCAAGGCGACGAUCAGUAGCUGGUCUGAGAGGAUGAUCAGCCACAUUGGGACUGAGACACGGCCCAAACUCCUACGGGAGGCAGCAGUGGGGAAUCUUGCGCAAUGGGCGAAAGCCUGACGCAGCCAUGCCGCGUGAAUGAUGAAGGUCUUAGGAUUGUAAAAUUCUUUCACCGGGGACGAUAAUGACGGUACCCGGAGAAGAAGCACCGGCUAACUACGUG
rnacentral:rRNA from 1 species